CAAUUCGCGGACGGCGUGCGGCGGCAGGUUGAUGCCGACGCCGACGUCGCGGAUUUCACGCGCUGCUUCGAGCAGGAGAAUGUCGCCCUGGCCGGCGGCGUGCAAAGACAACGCCGCCGUCAGUNCAACUCCCGCGCCUAUGAUCGCGAUCGACAUCGCGCUUCAGCUCCGGUCAGGCUGCCGCGGCUGCGCGCGGGAAUUCCACCAUCGCCUCGCCGACCGCGACCUUUUCACCGUUCUGGCUCUUCACCAGCACGUCGAUCAGCACGAAACGCGAGUUCUUGGUGGUCUGCUUGGCCUUGAUGAUACCCGCCGGCUGU
rnacentral:misc_RNA from 1 species